UUGCAUUAAAACUAGCAUAGUUAAUAUAGUUAACAUGCCAAACAAACCAAGAGAUAAUUUCUCUUCAAGAAAACUUAUUUGUGUUUGCUGUGGUGGUAAGAACUUAAAAUGCACUGAACUGGUAACUGGAAACCCUUUACUAAUCUUGAUUCAACUGUAUGCCAACGCUAACUAUAAUCUGACACUUCUUUCCAACCCUAUUGGGUUAUGUCCAAGCUGCAAGAUUUAUUUGUACUCAGCUAAAAAUGGAGAAACUUUAUCACUUGUUACUUUAGAGAGGUGAGACAGUGUCAACAUGUGAUUGCAUGCUCUGUAUCAUGUCAAGAGAUAAAUCUAAAUCUAUAAACCUUCAGGAUGUAUUAAACAUGUACAUUAAUGACCCUGAAGUACCAAAGGAGGUUAUAG